rnacentral:rRNA from 1 species
CCUACGGGGUGCUGCAGUGGGGAAUAUUGGACAAUGGGCGAAAGCCUGAUCCAGCCAUGCCGCGUGUGUGAAGAAGGCCUUCGGGUUGUAAAGCACUUUCAGUGGGGAAGAAAGCCUUGGGGCUAAUACCCUCGAGGAAGGACAUCACCCACAGAAGAAGCACCGGCUAACUCCGUGCCAGCAGCCGCGGUAAUACGGAGGGUGCGAGCGUUAAUCGGAAUUUCUGGGCGUAAAGCGCGCGUAGGCGGUCUGAUAAGCCGGUUGUGAAAGCCCCGGGCUCAACCUGGGAACGGCAUCCGGAACUGUCAGGCUAGAGUGCAGGAGAGGAAGGUAGAAUUCCCGGUGUAGCGGUGAAAUGCGUAGAGAUCGGGAGGAAUACCAGUGGCGAAGGCGGCCUUCUGGACUGACACUGACGCUGAGGUGCGAAAGCGUGGGUAGCAAACAGGAUUAGAUACCCUUGUAGUC